AUUGAACGCUGGCGGCAGGCCUAACACAUGCAAGUCGCACGAGUGGCGGACGGGUGAGUAAUGUCUGGGAAACUGCCUGAUGGAGGGGUAUAACUACUGGAAACGGUAUCUAAUACCGCAUACCAUCGGAUGUGCCCAGAUGGGAGUGGCUAUUAGGUGGGGUAACGGCUCACCUAGGCGACGAUCCCUCGCUGGUCGGAGAGGAUGACAAGCCAAACUGGAACUGAGCCCCGGUCCAGACUCCUACGGGAGGCAGCAGUGGGGAAUAUUGCACAAUGGGCGCAAGCCUGAUGCAGCCAUGCCGCGUGUAUGAAGAAGGCCUUCGGGUUGUAAAGUACUUUCAGCGGGGAGGCGUUACCCGCAGAAGAAGCACCGGCUAACUCCGUGCCAGCCGCCGCGGUAAUUC
rnacentral:rRNA from 1 species